rnacentral:rRNA from 1 species
UACUUGGGGAUAUGCCUUUGCGUGGGGAGUAACUAUUGGAACGAUAGCUAAUACCGCAUGAUGUCUACGGACCAAAGGGGGACGUUUCGGGUCGUCUCGCGCAAUGAGUAACCCAACGCGAGAUUAGCUAGUUGGUGAGGUAAAGGCUCACCAAGGCGACGAUCUCUAGCUGUUCUGAGAGGAAGAUCAGCCACACUGGGACUGAGACACGGCCCAGACUCCUACGGGAGGCAGCAGUGGGGAAGUAUUGCACAAUGGGGGAAACCCGUGAUGCAGCCAUGCCGCGUGUGUGAAGAAGGC